AAGUCGUAACAAGGUUUCCGUAGGUGAACCUGCGGAAGGAUCAUUAACGAGUAAACAGGGGAGUUGUAGCUGGCCGCAAGGCAUGUGCACGCUCUCUACUCAAUCCAACCUUACACCUGUGCACCUAUUGUAGGUCGAGUGGCUGGACUUGUUCUGGUCGCUCUUCCUAUGUUCUACACAUACACUUGUAGUCUCAGAAUGUAAUCCGCGUAUAACGCAUUAUAAAACAACUUUCAACAACGGAUCUCUUGGCUCUC
rnacentral:misc_RNA from 1 species